rnacentral:rRNA from 1 species
CCUACGGGUGGCAGCAGUGGGGAAUAUUGGGCAAUGGAGGCAACUCUGACCCAGCAACGCCGCGUGAAUGAUGAAGGUCUUCGGAUUGUAAAGUUCUGUGAUGGGGGAUGAACACAAUGACGGUACCCCAAUAGCAAGCCACGGCUAACUACGUGCCAGCAGCCGCGGUAAUACGUAGGGGGCAAGCGUUAUCCGGAUUUACUGGGUGUAAAGGGAGCGUAGACGGUGCAGCAAGUCUGAUGUGAAAGGUCGGGGCCCAACCCCGGGACUGCAUUGGAAACUGUUGAACUGGAGUACAGGAGAGGUAAGCGGAAUUCCUAGUGUAGCGGUGAAAUGCGUAGAUAUUAGGAGGAACACCAGUGGCGAAGGCGGCUUACUGGACUGUAACUGACGUUGAGGCUCGAAAGCGUGGGGAGCAAACAGGAUUAGAUACCCUUGUAGUC